UGGUUCUGUAACAUUUCCCAAGGCCUACAACCUUUAUCUUAAUACAUACCUUUAAUGAUUCACAAGGUUUACAUAAUCAAACUAUUUAAGGUAACAUAAUAGUUGACGAUGCAUAAUAAGUUAUUCUUGGAAUUUAUCCUUGUCUCUGACUUUCCUCGAACCUUCGUAUAAAUCUGAAAAUGUUAUCAUGAUAUAGCAAAAGUGAGCAACUACUUUGCCCAGCAAGUUUAAAUAUAAGAAGGAUAUACUAUGAUUGAAAAGGAAUAAGCUUUCAAGUUUUCAACAAUGUAAUAUAAUUGUGAAAGAGCAUGAAUCAAUUUCAAUGAUUGAAUCAAUAAUGAAGAGUGAUAAACAAUGAUCAUGAACAAAUUUAACUGAAUCUUAUGGUAAUCAAGGUGAUUCGCCUUUCAUACCUGAUGAACAUAUGCAACAUGCACUAAAUGCGAAUCAAUAAUCAAAGAUUUAGAAUAAUUGUAAAUAAUUAAACCACUAGCAUGCUUAAAACAUAAUAACUCGAGUUUGAGUUAGGAAACUUGCAUUGACCUUCGAUUACUGCUACACAAUCUAUUAUAAUCUCUUUAUUGAAAAGACCUAUCAUUGUUAAGAUUGAUCUUCCAAUUAGCAUAAUACAUUUUAUCUCAUAACAUUACUAUUUUAAUAACAUAUUAUCUAACAUUUAGCCACAUAACAAAUAUUAGAUCUUACGUUAAGUCCUUAGUACUAUUAUUAUACCUUGAUAAUAUUACUAUCAUCUUAAACUCAUUUCAUAUCAUUAAUCUUAAUAAUAUUUUAUUCACUUCUUAGUAUUAUUAAUCAAUUAAUAAUACUUUAAUCAUAUAAUAAUAUCUUAAUUGUUUACAAAUAUUAUUAACCCUUUAAUGAUAUUUUAAUCACUUAGUAAUAUUAUUAAUUAUUUAAUAAUAUUUUAACCAUUUACAAAUAUUAUUAAGAUUUUAAUCACAUUUUAAUAUUAUUAAUCAUUUAAUAAUAUUUUAAAUCAUUAUAUAAUAUUAUUAAUUAUUUAAUAAUAUUUUAAUAAUUUAUUAAACUUAUAAACAAUUUAUUUUAAUUGUUUACCCUUUACUAAUUACUUUAUUUAACAACCUUAAAAUGACAUAAAUAUAACAUCUCAUCAAAAAUGACCAAAAUAGUCUCCAUAAAUCUGAUUACAUCAUCUUUAGGUUCUUUUGUCAAAAAUAUUAUAUUUUUACCCUUUAUAACAUCACUUAACUUAUUUUAUCCAUUUAUUCAUAACUAAAUCAUUCACAUGAAAAAUAAAAAAAAUAAUUCUGAAAAUUCUAAUUUUCUGGGAAACAUCAGUUAAUAUUACACUUAUGAACAUAUAAUUUUUCUGAAAUUUUUCAGUUUCGUUUACUAUGCUUAAAACGGCCAAAAUAGUCGGAUCUUGCAACAAUUUUCAUGAACUAAUUUUUUGUCAAAAAAUUCUGAAACGUGUAGGGGAUGUUCUGGUUAUGUGUAUGUACUUGCUAUUAAAAUUUCACAAGUUUUGGAGUUACACAAAGAGUUAUUCUCUUUUACUUUUUAAGUAGUGUUUUCUCGUAAAAUCCAUAACUUUCAUCUUACACGCCCAAAAAUUACCAUCUUUUUACUGAAAACAAUUAACUCAUCAUAUUAUCAUCUCAAUUUGUUCAACAAUUUUUAAAGUAAAAUAAAUGGACAAAACUGCCCUUGCUAUGAACUGUCCAAAAACAGUCAUUUUUUCUCUUUUUUUUAAAAUCUGGACAGUUUUGCUACAAAAUAGGUCCCAUGGCUUAACAAAUCAAUAUUUUUGAGUGCUACCAUUUGGGUUUGAAAGCUAACUUACAUAUCUAACACCCCUCUUUGACGGAUUGAAAAAAAUGUGUAGAUUUUAAGUUAUAACCUUUCAAAAUGGGCAGAAGGGUUUUCUAGAACUAAAAACCAUCUUUCAUCCCUUUUUAUUUUUCAAAUUUUUCAACACCCAAAAAUGGAUGAUCUAAACAUAAAACACCUUAAAACAUAUAGAUCUAAGGUUUUGGAGUUUUAGAAACAUUAGAUCUUUAUUUCAUCAUAAUCCACCAAAAUAAAUUAAACAAAGUUUAAGGUUUAUACCUUUUGAUAUCUUCUCCUCUUGAUUUCUUUUUCUUCUUCUCCUCCCUUUUUUCUCUCUUUUCUUCUCUUCCAUGGCAGCCACUUUCUUUCUCUUCCUCUAUAUUGGUUUGCGCAUGGAGUGAAGAAAUGAGAGAGAGAGAGAGAG
rnacentral:lncRNA from 1 species